ensembl:lncRNA LINC00536 long intergenic non-protein coding RNA 536
UGUGGCUGUGGCCAAGUGAUUGUUGCUGAACUUACCUGUGUCGAAAGGUCAGCCUUCCAGUGCUAAGGCUGGGCACAGGCGCUAAGGCAAAUUGGAUUGUGAAUGGAGGCCCUGAGGCAUGUUCUGCACUUUGCAACUGGUCUGGCAGGCUCCACUCCUCCACCUUCUAAGUCUGCCACAGGCAUGGGAAACACCUGGGCAGCGACAAAGGUGGUUAAGGCAGCUUCGCCAAGAAGAGGAGCCAAGAUGGUUAACUAGACGUAGCCAGGAGGAACAUCUCCCACCAAGAGACUGAGCUGUCAGGAAGACUGGUACAUUCUGAGCAGAUCUUUGGAGGGAAGGCAUUGAGAGUGGAUGGAAGGAUGAUGCAGACACUGGGCUGAAGAGGAAGGAAGCUGGGAACCCUGUACAGGACUACCGAGCACCAGGACUUGUUUCUGGCCCCCUGCAACUCCUGGGAAAGGGGGUUUUAGCCAGAUGAUACCAAAAUGACCCCAGAACCAGAAGAUGGCAGAGCCACAAAGUGAAAAAUACUUGGGUCUCUGAAUCAUAGCUUGGAGGAGGGCUUCCUGGAAAACCAUCCCAACAGAGACAUCCGCAUUAAACUUUGUGUAAACAAAAAAUAAAUCUUUCUUGUGGUAGGCCACUGAGAUUUAGAUUGCUACAGCAGCUAACCGAUCUGACCAAUACAGCAGAGAACUCCUCCAGUGCUCUCAAGUGUUUUACAGACCACUAAUUAUUAAAUGUGGAAGCUCUGGAGCAGAGAACCUUUCAACUGAAAUGAUGACAAACGAUGCUGGCUGAGGAGAGUCAGACCUGAAAAGUUAGGAAUCCCUAAAAUGACGUCAACCUAUAAUUCCUAUUACAGAGCUCUGAUUUCUACUGAUCGUUUUAGGAACCAUAUCUACUAUGUGAGAAAAGCUGCUGGUGGGCCUAAUUUAGAUGAAAAGCAGAAAGGCCUUAAAAAAGAAAUGGGAAAGGAAUAUACAGAAGCAAGAAGAUGAUUGAAAAAAGAUGGCAAUUCAUGUACUUGUUGAACACCAGUUCUGAGCUGCAGAGCAGGAGGCACAAGACGUAAACAAAAAAGUCUCUGUUACGGUCCUAAAGAAGCCAAUCAUCUAGAGAAAUGUAUGCACAGCAGGUCCAGCAGAAUGGGCUUUGCGCUGAUGAGGGAAGCAAGAGGAGAGCAUGGCCUGGGAAAGGAGAUGAUCAGGCUCACUUCCCAUUUCUCUGUGGAAGAACCGUGGCAAACACAGAGUCAACUCACAACGUUCAUUGGAAUUUUUCCCACUUGACUCCUUCGCAAGUUGGAAUAAGGAGUUUGGAAAGGGAGGAUUUCUUCAUAUAAAAAUGGUCUGGGUAUAUCCACGCAAAACUAAAGGGAGUGGAAGAGACCCUAGGUCUACACAUUUGAUGGGAUAGAUCCUUCGGGCUCAGCCUCACCUGCAGGUACUGAAGGAAGCCUUAGUCUGCUAUACAGAGCACUCUGCACCAUGGGGAGAAGAUCAAUAUGCUAAACUUGGGUACUGGGCCUAAAUCUUACGAAGUGACCUCAAACCUAGGAAGGUCCUCGAUGGAUUGGGUGAUGUCUGCCCACAUAGAUAAAGGUGGAUCUUCUUUACUCAGUCUACUGAUUCAAAUGCUAACCUCCUCUGGAAACACCUUCACAGACACACUCAGAAAUAAUGCUUUACCAGCUAUCUGGACAUCCCUUAGCUCAGGCCUGUGCUUUCAUCUUCCCUGUGUAUCUGAAUGUGGAGUUUUUUUCUUUUGCAUUAAUAGUAUAUUGGUUUUUUGACUUCUGGUCCCCUUAAGGACCCUUCACUUCAACCCUUGUAGUACAUAAAUCAACUUUUACUACAUUUUCUAUCAAGUCCCUGCUAAUGCUUUUUAUUUCUAUUCCUACCUGUGGCAUGUAUAAUAUGACUGCUUUACAUUUUUUCUCCUAUCUCAAAUGGAUUGUACAUAUAAAUGGAAGUCUGGAUUUGAGUUUUCUUUUUUCAUUAGAAUACACAUAAGCUUUGUAACAAAUCUGGUAUGUUUUAAAUGUGCUUUCCUGAACGGUUAGAAAUGAGCUUCUUUCAGCUUGUUCAGAUUAAAUUAAUUUUCACUGCC